rnacentral:piRNA from 1 species
UAAACCUUUCAGCUCAAGAAUUCCUGUUUA